CGGGACACGUGGUAUCCUGUCUGAAUAUGGGGGGACCAUCCUCCAAGGCUAAAUACUCCUGACUGACCGAUAGUGAACCAGUACCGUGAGGGAAAGGCGAAAAGAACCCCGGCGAGGGGAGUGAAAAAGAACCUGAAACCGUGUACGUACAAGCAGUGGGAGCACGCUUAGGCGUGUGACUGCGUACCUUUUGUAUAAUGGGUCAGCGACUUAUAUUCUGUAGCAAGGUUAACCGAAUAGGGGAGCCGAAGGGAAACCGAGUCUUAACUGGGCGUUAAGUUGCAGGGUAUAGACCCGAAACCCGGUGAUCUAGCCAUGGGCAGGUUGAAGGUUGGGUAACACUAACUGGAGGACCGAACCGACUAAUGUUGAAAAAUUAGCGGAUGACUUGUGGCUGGGGGUGAAAGGCCAAUCAAACCGGGAGAUAGCUGGUUCUCCCCGAAAGCUAUUUAGGUAGCGCCUCGUGAAUUCAUCUCCGGGGGUAGAGCACUGUUUCGGCAAGGGGGUCAUCCCGACUUACCAACCCGAUGCAAACUGCGAAUACCGGAGAAUGUUAUCACGGGAGACACACGGCGGGUGCUAACGUCCGUCGUGAAGAGGGAAACAACCCAGACCGCCAGCUAAGGUCCCAAAGUCAUGGUUAAGUGGGAAACGAUGUGGGAAGGCCCAGACAGCCAGGAUGUUGGCUUAGAAGCAGCCAUCAUUUAAAGAAAGCGUAAUAGCUCACUGGUCGAGUCGGCCUGCGCGGAAGAUGUAACGGGGCUAAACCAUGCACCGAAGCUGCGGCAGCGACGCUUAUGCGUUGUUGGGUAGGGGAGCGUUCUGUAAGCCUGUGAAGGUGUACUGUGAGGUAUGCUGGAGGUAUCAGAAGUGCGAAUGCUGACAUAAGUAACGAUAAAGCGGGUGAAAAGCCCGCUCGCCGGAAGACCAAGGGUUCCUGUCCAACGUUAAUCGGGGCAGGGUGAGUCGACCCCUAAGGCGAGGCCGAAAGGCGUAGUCGAUGGGAAACAGGUUAAUAUUCCUGUACUUGGUGUUACUGCGAAGGGGGGACGGAGAAGGCUAUGUUGGCCGGGCGACGGUUGUCCCGGUUUAAGCGUGUAGGCUGGUUUUCCAGGCAAAUCCGGAAAAUCAAGGCUGAGGCGUGAUGACGAGGCACUACGGUGCUGAAGCAACAAAUGCCCUGCUUCCAGGAAAAGCCUCUAAGCAUCAGGUAACAUCAAAUCGUACCCCAAACCGACACAGGUGGUCAGGUAGAGAAUACCAAGGCGCUUGAGAGAACUCGGGUGAAGGAACUAGGCAAAAUGGUGCCGUAACUUCGGGAGAAGGCACGCUGAUAUGUAGGUGAAGUCCCUCGCGGAUGGAGCUGAAAUCAGUCGAAGAUACCAGCUGGCUGCAACUGUUUAUUAAAAACACAGCACUGUGCAAACACGAAAGUGGACGUAUACGGUGUGACGCCUGCCCGGUGCCGGAAGGUUAAUUGAUGGGGUUAGCGCAAGCGAAGCUCUUGAUCGAAGCCCCGGUAAACGGCGGCCGUAACUAUAACGGUCCUAAGGUAGCGAAAUUCCUUGUCGGGUAAGUUCCGACCUGCACGAAUGGCGUAAUGAUGGCCAGGCUGUCUCCACCCGAGACUCAGUGAAAUUGAACUCGCUGUGAAGAUGCAGUGUACCCGCGGCAAGACGGAAAGACCCCGUGAACCUUUACUAUAGCUUGACACUGAACAUUGAGCCUUGAUGUGUAGGAUAGGUGGGAGGCUUUGAAGUGUGGACGCCAGUCUGCAUGGAGCCGACCUUGAAAUACCACCCUUUAAUGUUUGAUGUUCUAACGUGGACCCGUAAUCCGGGUUGCGGACAGUGUCUGGUGGGUAGUUUGACUGGGGCGGUCUCCUCCUAAAGAGUAACGGAGGAGCACGAAGGUUGGCUAAUCCUGGUCGGACAUCAGGAGGUUAGUGCAAUGGCAUAAGCCAGCUUGACUGCGAGCGUGACGGCGCGAGCAGGUGCGAAAGCAGGUCAUAGUGAUCCGGUGGUUCUGAAUGGAAGGGCCAUCGCUCAACGGAUAAAAGGUACUCCGGGGAUAACAGGCUGAUACCGCCCAAGAGUUCAUAUCGACGGCGGUGUUUGGCACCUCGAUGUCGGCUCAUCACAUCCUGGGGCUGAAGUAGGUCCCAAGGGUAUGGCUGUUCGCCAUUUAAAGUGGUACGCGAGCUGGGUUUAGAACGUCGUGAGACAGUUCGGUCCCUAUCUGCCGUGGGCGCUGGAGAAUUGAGGGGGGCUGCUCCUAGUACGAGAGGACCGGAGUGGACGCAUCACUGGUGUUCGGGUUGUCAUGCCAAUGGCACUGCCCGGUAGCUAAAUGCG
rnacentral:rRNA from 1 species